ensembl:snoRNA SNORA70 Small nucleolar RNA SNORA70
UUGCAGCCGGUUAAGCCGACUGUGCUCUAUUCCCAUGGGGGUCCAGUGUCCAAUGGCUGCAAACAGCAGCCUCCUUGGUAGCGUAUGCAGCCUGUUGCUUGUACAGGUUGCCCUAAGCGACCUUGGAUACAACU